rnacentral:tRNA from 5 species
UCCCGAGUAGCUCAGCGGUAGAGCAGCUGACUGUUAAUCAGCGGGUCGUAGGUUCGAAUCCUGCCUCGGGAGCCA